rnacentral:rRNA from 1 species
CAGCAGCCGCGGUAAUACGAAGGGUGCAAGCGUUAAUCGGAAUUACUGGGCGUAAAGCGUGCGUAGGCGGUGAGUUAAGUCUGCUGUGAAAUCCCCGGGCUCAACCUGGGAAUGGCAGUGGAUACUGGCUCGCUAGAGUGUGUCAGAGGAUGGUGGAAUUCCCGGUGUAGCGGUGAAAUGCGUAGAGAUCGGGAGGAACAUCAGUGGCGAAGGCGGCCAUCUGGGACAACACUGACGCUGAGGCACGAAAGCGUGGGGGGCAAACAGGAUUAGAUACCCCCGUAGUCCCUGUCUCUUAUAC